rnacentral:tRNA from 4 species
GGGGCUGUAGCUCAGCUGGGAGAGCACCUGGUUUGCAACCAGGGGGUCACCGGUUCGAUCCCGGUCAGCUCCACCA